ensembl:lncRNA
AUGGGUGUCCCUAUAUGGGUUCCCCCCUCGUGGGUGUCCCUAUGGAUGUCCCUAUGGGUUCCUCCCCCUCUGGGUGUCCCUCUGGGUGUCCCUAUAUGGGUUCCCCCCUAUGUGGGUGUCCCUAUGGGUGUCCCUAUAUGGGUUCCUCUCCCUCUGGGUGUCCCUAUGGGUGUCCCUAUAUGGGUUCCCCUCCCUCUGGGUAUCCCUAUGGGUUCCCCCCUAUGUGGGUGUCCCUAUGGGUGUCCCUAUGGGUUCCCCUCCUUCUGGGUGUCCCUAUGGGUUCCCUCCCUUAUGAGUUCCCCUUCCUAUGGGUUCCCCCCCCUCUGGGUGUCCCUGUGGGUUCCCCUCCUUCUGGGUGUCCCUAUGGGUUCCCCCCCUCCUCUGGGUGUCCCUAUGGGUGUCCCUAUGGGUGUCCCUAUGGGUUCCCCUCCCUCUGGUUUCCCCCCCACUAUGGAUUCCCCUCCUUAUGGGUGUCCCUAUAUGGGUUCCCCUCCCUCUGGUUAUCCCUAUGGGUUCCCCCCCUAUGUGGGUGUCCCUAUGGGUGUCCCUAUAUGGGUUCCCCCCCCCCAUGGGUGUCCCCAUGGGUGUCCCUAUGGGUCCCCCUCCCUGUGCGUGUCCCUAUGGGUUCCCCCCCCCUCUGGGUAUCCCUAUGGGUGUCCCUAUAUGGGUUCCUCCCCCUAUGGGUGUCCCCAUGGGUUCCCCUCCCUAUGGUUGUCCCUAAGGUUGUCCCUAUGGGUUCCCCCCCCUCUGGGUGUCCCUCUGGGUGUCCCUAUGGGUGUCCCUAUAUGGGUUUCCCUCCCUCUGGGUGUCCUUCUGGGUUCCCUUCCCUAUGGAUGUCCCUAUGGGUGUCCCUAUAUGGGUUCCUCUCCCUAUGGGUGUCCCUAUGGGUGUCCCUAUAUGGGUUCCCCUCCCUCUGGGUAUCCCUAUGGGUGCCCCUAUGGGUUCCCCUCCCUCUGGGUAUCCCUAUGGGUUCCCCCCCCUGUGGGUGUCCCUAUGGGUGUCCCUAUAUGGGUUCCCCUCCCUCUGGGUGUCCCUAUGGAUGUCCCUAUGGAUGUCCCUAUGGGUUCCUCCCCCUGUGGGUGUCCCUAUGGGUGUCCCUAUAUGGGUUCCUCUCCCUAUGGGUAUCCCUAUGUGUUCCCCCCUAUGUGGGUGUCCCUAUGGGUGUCCCUAUAUGGGUUCCCCUCCCUCUGGGUGUCCCUAUGGAUGUCCCUAUGGAUGUCCCUAUGGGUUCCCCUCCCUAUUGGUGUCCCUAUGGGUGUCCCCAUAUGGGUUCCCCUCCCUCUGGGUGUCCCUGUUGGUGUCCCUAUGGGUGUCCCUAUGGUUCCCCCCCCAUGGCUGUCCCUAUAUGACUGUCCCUAUAUGUGCCCCCCCCCAGGAGCUGCCCUGCAGCCCGUUCCGUAUCACGGUGGCUCCGGCCCACGACAGCAGCAAAGUGCGGGCGGAGGGACCCGGCAUCAGCCGCACCGGUCAGUGCGGGAUGGGGACACUGCGGGGCGCUAUGGGGCGCUAUGGGGCGCUAUGGGUCACUGGGGGUCACUGGGGGGUGCUAUGGGGCGCUGUGGGGCGCUGUGGGUCACUGAGGGGCGCUAUGGGAUGCUAUGGGGCGCUAUGGGAUGCUAUGGGUCACUGGGGGGCGCUAUGGGAUGCUAUGGGUCACUGGGGGGCGCUGUGGGAUGCUAUGGGGCGCUAUGGGUCACUGAGGGGCGCUAUGGGGUGCUAUGGGACGCUAUGGGAUGA